UUCGACACGUCAUACAAUGGUCGGUACAGAGGGUUGCCAAGCCGCGAGGUGGGAGCCAAUCCCAGAAAGCCGAUCGUAGUCCGGAUUGUUCUCUGCAACUCGAGAGCAUGAAGUCGGAAUCGCUAGUAAUCGCGGAUCAGCAUGUCGCGGUGAAUACGUUCCCGGGUCUU
rnacentral:rRNA from 1 species